GACAUUAUAGGUCAUUUUCAGCCAUUGAACACUUGAAUUUUCUAAGUUACAUGAUCAGUUUUUCAUGCCAACUUAAAUAUGCCAUAACUUUAUGCUCAAACAUCCAAAUUCAACCUUUCUUGGCACACUGCAAUCUUUGUUAUGAUGUCAACACAUUUUAAAAAGAAUGGGAUCAAAAAGCCUCCUGAGUAGGAUGCCCCAUUGGGUUGAACAUGGUGACUUGGAACUGAAGAAAUCACCAUUUCCCGAAAUUUGAACCUCACUAAUCUCAAU
rnacentral:lncRNA from 1 species